AGGGAGCCGAGAUCGCACCACUGCACUCCAGCCUGGCGACAGAAUAGGAAAAAUGGAAUGAAGCCAAUUCACCAAUCAUCAAAAGAAAGUCACUGAAAACCAAUUUGUUGACCUAUGUAUUGUUGGUGUCAGAGGAAAAGGGGUCAAGGGAGGAAAGCUGAAAAGUGCUGGUGAAUGAAACAACUCAUUUACUUUGAACUUCUUGAAAGACUGAUAACACAACAUAAAGGCCCUCACAAGAUGCCAGAGCCAUGCUGUUGGACUUCCUGGUCUUCAGAACUACUGCAAGACCAACCCCUCCUCUUCCUCCUCCUCUUCAGCCUACUCAAUGUGAAGACAAUGAAAAUGAAGACCUUUCGGAUGACCCACUUCCACUUAGUGAAUAUGUUCACAGCAUCUUCCCCAGGAGUAGAUUGCAUCUGAAGAAACCAGUUUCCUUGCUUAUCUAUUUCUGUUAUAUCUGAGGAUCGUUUCUGGAAUCUAUGGCUAAAUCUUGCUCCUCCAGCCCAUACAUUGCUAG